AGCUGCGAUAAAUAGUGCGAAUUGCAGACGCAUUGAGCACAAAGAUUUCGAACGCACAUUGCACCAUCGGGUUGAUUCCCGAUGGUACGUCUGGUUGAGGGU
rnacentral:rRNA from 1 species